GACGAACGCUGGCGGCGUGCCUAAUACAUGCAAGUCGAACGCUUCUUUCCUCCCGAGUGCUUGCACUCAAUUGGAAAGAGGAGUGGCGGACGGGUGAGUAACACGUGGGUAACCUACCCAUCAGAGGGGGAUAACACUUGGAAACAGGUGCUAAUACCGCAUAACAGUUUAUGCCGCAUGGCAUAAGAGUGAAAGGCGCUUUCGGGUGUCGCUGAUGGAUGGACCCGCGGUGCAUUAGCUAGUUGGUGAGGUAACGGCUCACCAAGGCCACGAUGCAUAGCCGACCUGAGAGGGUGAUCGGCCACACUGGAACUGAGACACGGCCCAGACUCCUACGGGAGGCAGCAGUAGGGAAUCUUCGGAAAUGGACGAAAGUCUGACCGAGCAACGCCGCGUGAGUGAAGAAGGUUUUCGGAUCGUAAAACUCUGUUGUUAGGGAAGAACAAGGACGUUAGUAACUGAACGUCCCCUGACGGUAUCUAACCAGAAAGCCACGGCUAACUACGUG
rnacentral:rRNA from 1 species